UUGAACUGGAUUUUGAAUUGUCAUUACUUUAUCCUUAUCCCCUGAGUUACAUGCUAGCGCUCAACCCGUUAACUAUCUCCGGACACUAUAUCCUCACGCGAUGCAGGAACCGAAGACACUUCUACUUUUUUUACGGAGUGAUAGGAUUUUUGGAUUGUCAGUGGUCAGCUUAAAGUGGUGAGCCUCCUUCUUUCGGAAGGCCGUUACUUCUUGGUUUAUCUUCUAUCAUAAACUUUUCUUUGGACUUAUUUUGGCUAUCAUCAGGGGCAUGUCCCGACAUUGGUUUGAUUCAAUUUGGUCACAGAGGCUUUGUGGAUUACUGUUAGUUGUUGAUGUAUCUUACACUUCUUGAAUUUGAUUAUUCUAUCUUGUUAUAUGUUCGAAAUUUAGUCACUAUUAGUGUAUUAGAUUCUAUUUGGCUAAGCAAAGGGGUGGUCUCCGAUCCUCGGUAGACUUGAGAUACCAGUCACGGCCAGGCCCUAGUUUGAGUCAUGACAAAGAAAGCAUAUAUAAGAAAAAAUCUAGAGUACAAUGGCUAAAUUUAGAUGAUUCAAACACAACUUAUCUUUUACAAGUAUGAAAGGUAAAAAGGCACAAAAUCAGAUCAAGAUCUUAUAUGUAGAAGAUGGGACCAGUAUUAGAGGAAAUCAGUGAUUAAAGAUGGUCCCUCACUAGGAGCCAACAGUUGCAACUCAUACAAUCAUUUACUGCAAAUGAUGUUAUUCAAGCUCUUAAAGGCAUUGAGAAUAACAAAGCUCCUGGUAGAGAUGGUGUUAACUCCUACUUUUUCAAACAAGCAUAGCUAAUCAUAGGAAGGGAGGUAAUUGAUGUAAUUUUACAGUUCUUUAGUACUGAUGAGAUGUAUAAACCUAUUAAUACUACUUCCGUAACCUUGAUUAUAAAAGUAAAACAUCUUAGCUCAAUUAAACAGUAUAGACCAAUAUAUUGUUGGAAUACCAUUUAUAAGAUCAUAUAAAAAAUUCUCACUUCUAGACUCCAACCUCUCAUGCUUCAUCUUGUAGACAUUAGCCAAGCUGCUUUUGUUCCUGGUAGGGUCUUAAAAGAUAAUAUCUUGCUUAGUCAUGAAUUUGUCAAGGGUUAUGGUAGAAAAGGUUUUUCACCCAGGUGUAUGAUUAAAAUAAAUAUGCAAAAGGCUUAUGACUCCUUGAAAAGGCCUUUCCUUGAGGAGAUGUUACUGGGCAAGAAUUUCCUUGGGAUAUUUAUUAAAUGGAUAAUGUGUUGUGUUAGGACUGUCUCCUACUCAAUAAAUAUUAAUGGUUUCCCAAGCCCACCAUUUGCUGCUAAGAUAGAGUGAGCCAGAGUGAUCCUUUAUUAUCAUAUUUAUUCGUUUUAGGUAUGGAUUAUCUGACUAGAAUGUUGAACAGAUUGGGACAAAAAUCUAGAUUUUAAUUUCCAUCUAAGAUGCCAAAAGCUGAACAUAAUACAACUCAACUUUGUUGAUGAUCUGCUUUUGUUCUCCAAAGGAGAUGUAGUUUUUGCUAUCCUGUUCUAUGAAUGCUUUACAAAGUUUUUUACAGCUUCAGAUCUUAUAGCAAACCAAUCAAAGUGAAAUAUUUACUUUGGGGUGUACCUGAGAAUGUCCAAUAGAUUAUUCUUCAGCAGUUGGAGUUUACAGUUGGACAAUUGACUUUCAAGUACAUGGGAGUGCCGUCGAGCACAAAAAAAUUAUCAGUGGCUCCAAGCUCUACCAGACAAGAUGAUUGGAAAGAUCACUAGCUUGAUAGUUAUAUUUUCUCAUAUGCUGGCAGGAAACAGAUGAUCACUAGUGUACUAGCUGGUAUUCAAACUUUCUGGUCCCAGGCAUUUCCAAUACGUAAAGUAAUCCUAGAAAGGUGGAGACUAAGUGCAGAAGAUUUUUGUGGAAUGGAGAUAUACAGAAUAAAGGCAAGGCACUCAUAGCAUGAUGCAAGGUGUGCUUGCCCAAAUUAGCGGGAGGACUUAGUAUUAUAGAUAUGUAUGUAUGGAACAGAGUAGCUAUCCUUAAAAUUUAAGAAACUUGAAUAUGAAGAAAGAUAAACUAUGGAUUUUGUGGGUGCAUGCUUAUUACUUGAAGGGCAGGAUGCCUUGGAACACACUGACCAAACAAGCCUCUUGGAUCAUUCAAAAUAUUUUACAUGCUAGUAAAUGAUUUGUUGACGCAGGUCUAAUCAUUGAAUGUGUAAUGGAGAAGGACUCUUUCUCCAUCAAAGGUAUGUAUAACCAACUUCGAGGGUAGUUUCCUAAAGUUGAGUAGAAGAUAUUACAUUGUAACAAUCAAGGUCACCCAAAGUGGAGGUUUAUCAUGUUCAUAGCUAUUCAACGAAGACUCUAUACCAAAGGUCAACUAGACAAAUGAGGUGACAUUUGGAAAAGAAUUUUAAUAUGGCAAGGUUUAACAAGGGGAGGACAUUACACACAAAAGAGAAGCACCCAAGAGCAAUAAUCUGAAGGAUGAGCUUAGCAGCCAC